GGGGCGGGGCAGGCUGUGACUAGAGACAGUGAAACUCCGCGCGCUGGUGCCCGCCGCCUCCUGGGAAAGGCACUGUCCACAGCUCGACGGUCUGGCCUCACAGUCCAGGGACUACAUUUCCCAGAGAGCCUUGCGGACAGAGCCGGUCUUGCGCACUUUUCACUUCCGGACGCGGAAGGUUGUCGUGGAAACGCAGACGCUGCCGCGACCUCUUUCUUACCUUCUUGCGCGUGAGCAUGCACUAUGGUAAGGAGGGGGGGUGGGGGUGGCGACAAGGAACGGGAAGUAAUCCUUGGGCAACCGGAGGCUCCCGGGUCAGGGUCCCAGGGGUAGUUGCUUUUGGUUCCUGCGUGGCGUUGUUCCGCGCUGGCCCGCGUGGCUCCCGGAGGCGCAGGUCGGGGCUGGGGCGGCCCUGAAAUCAGAACACACAGGGCAGGAACAGAAACAUUCUUUUGCGGCGUCUGGAGAGAGUGAUGUGGGCCCAAAGCCGUCCCUGAAGAGGCCGCGGAGUGCCUGCCAGCGCCCAGGUGCCAAGCAGGACGUAAGGCCAUCAACCUGCAGGUGGAGCUGGAGGUGCUACAGUGCUUUGAAGCUGGAGAGAUGCUCAGCAGAAUCGGGAAGGCGCUGGGGCUCUCCACCUCCACCGUGGCCACCAUUUGUGACAAGGACAAGAUCUGAGCGAGUUUCCAGCCAGGCGGCCCCCCCGCAGGCGGCCACCAAGCUGACGCACAGCCGCCGCCUGGCGAUGGAGAACACGGAGCGGCUGCUGAGCGUGUGGAUCGAGGACCAGAACCAGCGCAACACGCGGGGCAACAUGGUGCUUGUCCAGGAGAAGACCGCAGCCUGUUCGAGGAGCUCAGGCGGCAGCAGGGCGAGGGCGCCGAGUCGGAGACCUUCAGGCCUGCCAGGGCCGGUUCAAGGUACGCUUCCGGCUGCGCACCCUGGGGUGGGCCGACGAGGCGGUGCGUGCAGCCCCUGGGGCGCGUGCAGGUACUGUGGGCCGCGCAGGGUGAUCCAGGAGGGGGACUUCACGGCCCGCCAGGUGUUCAGCGAGGAGGAGACCCGGCUCUUCUGGAGGCGGCUGCUGGAUGGGACGGUGCCUUCCGCCCGGAGGAGCGCCCUGGGUUCACAGCCCCCCAAGAUCUACUGACUCUGCUGCUGGGCAGCAACGUGGCCGGUAGCUUGAAGCUGAAGCCGCUGCUGGUGUACCCGGUGGAGAACCUGCGCGCCCUCAGGGGCUUCUCCAAGCCCAGCCUGCCCCUGCUUGGCUCGCCCACAAGAAGGCGUGGGUCACGGUGAGCCUCUUCCCGGAGUGGUUCGUGCACUUCUUCCACCCUGCGGUGGAGAGGUACUAUGCCUGGCACGGGCUCCCGCGUAAAGCGCAGCUUGUCCCGGACAGCGCUCCUGGCCGCCCUGGAAACCUGGACGACCUCUCCGACCACGUGGGCGUGGAGUCCCUGCCCAAGGAUACCACAGCCCUCAUCCAGCCCAUGACCCAGGACGUGGUCGCCACCUUUAAGGCCUGCCACCUGCGGAGGGUCUUCCGCCUCUUGGCCGCGAGGGCCGGGGGCACAGGCGAGCCGGGAGCGGCCCUGGACGUCUGGCGGGACUACUGCAUCCUUGACACCGCCCCGUACCUCUCCGUGUCCUGGGAGGGGUCCUGCCCUCGUCGCUGAACAGUGGUUGGAGGAGGCCGUGGCCCGAGCGCCUCCAGCACAGAGUCAGCGGCCCCCAGGUGGAAACCCACAGAUCUGGUGGGACAUCCAGGCGCUGGCGCACCAGGUGGGUUUCAGGGAGGUGGCGGAGGCAGAGGUGGCCGAGCUGCUGCAGAGCCGUGGCUCGGACUGGUCCAAGAGGAGCUGGAGGAGCCGGAGCCGACUGCUGAGGAGGAGGGCAAGGCCAGCCCCGCCACCGCCGCCAGCUCACGGCUGAGCACUUGGCCAGGGCCCUGGCACAUUUCGAUGCCCGCCUGCACAUCAUCAGGGACGACGCCUCCAAGCUGGAGUGCAGCCUCCAGGUCUGUCGGGGUGUGAACAACUUGAUGGGCUGCUGUGGGCGCAUUUCAAGGAGAAGCAAGGCCCCAAGUAGUGGGGUGGGAGGGGUGGGGAAGGAGGGGGCGUCCUCCCUCGCCAGCUCUCACUUGGAAGUGACACUGGUCUUCGUGUUUCCAUCUCAUUAACUCCUCAAAUGUCUUUUGUCAGCAAAUAAUUUAUUAUCUCCAGUGAUCUCAAAUACAUGGUUUUAGAAGCCUCGACGAAUGCUCAGUGGUUCUGUGGUGUCCCGAGCCCUUUGGAGGCAUGCAUCUAUUUCCUUGUGGACACCUGUGAGGAAGCCAGGCUGGCUGGGCAGCGCCCCUGGCAUGCUGCUCCUGGCACCUUGCUCACUGCACUGAGCCCUCCCUUUAUUCCGAGGCGGGGCUCCCAGAGCUGGGUGGACAUCCAGUCCAGAGAGGAGUUGUGCUUGUUUUCUGGUCCUCUCACUCUUCUGCUGGGCUUCAGGACCCACAGAGGACAAAGGCUGACCCAGGUGAGUGCCCAGAGAGACUCGGGGGUCCCGCGAGUGGGCCUGGGUAGGAGUGUCUGGCCACCCCCCUCCCAGCUCUGUUCCUACAGAGCCCCAGUGCCUCGUGUCACCCUGUUCUGUUCUCCAAAAUGAUGCUGAGCCCUUGUGGUCGGGCCAGGGGAGGGAGGAGAGACGCCGGCUGUUGCGGGUGAGCUGGUGAGGCAGCGCGCCCCCCAGCUCCUCGCCCCCAGCGUGGGGCAUCUGCACAGCUGCAGGCACCUGGGGCCAGUUCUCCCCCUCCUCUCUCCGGCCCGCCCUCCUGCUCUCCAGUUUCCGUCUAACCCCGCCAGGACCCAUUGACACUUCUUUCAGUGGACAUGGGCUCCUGCAGGUCGUGGUGCCACUGGAGACAGGGCCCCGGGUCCCACUGGGAAGACUGGGGGUCACUCGAUGCCCCACAGAAGGAGGCCUUUGGGGACCUGCCCAUCUGGGUAAGGAUGUGGGUUCCAGGCAGGCUUGGCCUGACGGCCGGAUGCCACGGGGCUCUGUUAGAGGAAGCCUUAUCUGAGCCUGCCUUCCUUCUGCAGGAGUUGGGGCGGGGGCGGGGGGGGGUAGCCCAGGAGCUUGGUCCGGGGCUAAACUGGGCCUGAAGCGUUUNNNNNNNNNNNNNNNNNNNNNNNNNGGGGGGGGGGGGGUAGCCCAGGAGAUUGGUCUGGGGCUAAACUGGGCCUGAAGCUUUUGCUGGGGAAUGCAGAUGCCCUCACGUCGCCCAUCUGCCAUCGCACACACCUGUGCACACCUGGCUGAGGUCUGCCCAGACCCAACCUCAGGUCACACACACAGCUCUGGUCCUGCUGGCUGGACCUCUUGCAUCUGAGCAGGUAACUUCUCCCCCAACUCUUGGGCCAUCUUGGGGACCUGCAGCUCUGGGUUCUUCUGGGAGUGGGAGCACCUGACAGGGCUUCUGGGCAUCUCCUCACAUUUGCCUUCUGCCCCUGUCAGCGCAGAACCACAGUCAGAGGAGAGGCUGACUGUGAACGCCACCUGGGUGCAUCUUGCUCAGGGAAGGGAAGGGUCAGUGGACCGUACAUGGGGGCCGCAUGGCCCAUCUCCACCCAGGGGUCCACUGAGGGUCCAGCUGCCCUGCGAGGGAGACCUGGCUGAACGUUUUCACAAGCUGAUACCCCUGCGCCUGGGUUGCAGCUUCCUGCUCUUGUCACCGCUCCCAGCCAUGGCCAGGAGGACCUCAGGUAGGGUGACACUUCUGUCCCUGAUGGAACCUUUUACUGUGUAAAGAGAGAGGGGACAGUUCCAUGUAUUUCACAAGAGACACGUACAGCGAGGUAGUCAAACAAGCGAGAAACACCCGACUGGACGGGAGGAAGUCCUCCCUCUGGCUCUGUGUGUUGAAGCGAAUUGAUGCUUUUUGCAGCAGGAACGAGGAGGUGCUGAUGGUCCCCAGUCAAAGACAACUUCGGAUUUUGCUGCUGCGUCAGAAGAGGGGGGUGUCCGACAUGCUGACGAUGCCCGAGGCAGCAGCGGGCUGGGGGAAGCCCAUGACUUCGGCAGAGCCGAGGGCAAAGCACGAGAACGUGACUCAGGAACCUCUGCAGAGGAAGGUGUGGUGAAUCCCGUGGUGUUUUCAGGGACCAGGGGCCCCUGGUGCCAGGGUGGCCUGGUUUACUGCUGAUGGGGCAGUUCAGAUUCGUCCUGGGCCGCCAGGCUUACAGCACCAGGUCUGUCCAGUGGAGGCCUCUGACCUGCAGAGGCGCCGUGCUUGCGGCCCAGCGUCCUUUCCAUUGUCCACACUGGGGCAGCAGAGGUACUGGUGAG
ensembl:lncRNA